CCUACGGGUGGCAGCAGUGGGGAAUAUUGCACAAUGGGGGAAACCCUGAUGCAGCGACGCCGCGUGAGUGAAGAAGUAUUUCGGUAUGUAAAGCCCUUUUAGUAGGGAAGAAAAUGACGGUACCUGACUAAGAAGCCCCGGCUAAAUACGUGCCAGCAGCCGCGGUAAUACGGAGGGGGCAAGCGUUAUCCGGAUUUACGGGGCGUAAAGGGAGCGUAGACGGCAGCGCAAGUCUGAAGUGAAAGGCCGGGGCUUAACCCCAGAACUGCUGUGGAAACUGUGCGUCUAGAGUGCAGGAGAGGUAGGUGGAAUUCCUGGUGUAGCGGUGAAAUGCGUAGAUAUUAGGAGGAACACCAGUGGCGAAGGCGGCUUGCUGGACUGUAACUGACGUUGAGGCUCGAAAGCGUGGGGAGCAAACAGGAUUAGAUACCCCAGUAGUC
rnacentral:rRNA from 1 species